UAGCGUAGGGUGCGAGCGUUGUCCGGAAUUAUUGGGCGUAAAGGGCUCGUAGGCGGUUUGUCGCGUCGGGAGUGAAAUCCACUGGGCUUAACUGGUGGCUUGCUUCGAUACGGGCAGACUGGAGGUAUGCAGGGGAGAACGGAAUUCCUGGUGUAGCGGUGAAAUGCGCAGAUAUCAGGAGGAAUACCGAUGGCGAAGGCAGGUCUCUGGGCUGACACUGACGCUCAUGCACGGAAAGCGUGGGGGAGCAAACAGG
rnacentral:rRNA from 1 species